UACGUAGGGGGCAAGCGUUGUCCGGAUUUAUUGGGCGUAAAGAGCGUGUAGGCGGCUUUACAGGUCCGUUGUGAAAACUCGAGGCUCAACCUCGAGACGCCGGUGGAAACCGUAAAGCUAGAGUCCGGAAGAGGAGAGUGGAAUUCCUGGUGUAGCGGUGAAAUGCGCAGAUAUCAGGAGGAACACCCGUGGCGAAAGCGGCUCUCUGGGACGGUACUGACGCUGAGGGACGAAAGCGUGGGGAGCAAACGGG
rnacentral:rRNA from 1 species